ACUCCUACGGGAGGCAGCAGUGGGGAAUUUUCCGCAAUGGGCGAAAGCCUGACGGAGCAAUACCGCGUGAGGGAGGAAGGCUCUUGGGUUGUAAACCUCUUUUCUUAGGGAAGAAGCUCUGACGGUACCUAAGGAAUAAGCAUCGGCUAACUCCGUGCCAGCAGCCGCGGUAAUACGGAGGAUGCAAGCGUUAUCCGGAAUCAUUGGGCGUAAAGCGUCCGUAGGUGGCAGUUCAAGUCUGCUGUUAAAGGCUGGGGCUUAACCCCAGACAGGCAGUGGAAACUGAACAGCUAGAGUGUGGUAGGGGUAGAGGGAGUUCCCGGUGUAGCGGUGAAAUGCGUAGAUAUCGGGAAGAACACCGGUGGCGAAAGCGCUCUGCUGGACCACAACUGACACUGAGGGACGAAAGCUAGGGGAGCGAAUGGGAUUAGAUACCCCAGUAGUCCUAGCCGUAAACGAUGGAUACUAGGUGUUGUGAGUAUCGACCCUCACAGUGCCGCAGCUAACGCGCUAAGUAUCCCGCCUGGGGAGUACGCACGCAAGUGUGAAACUCAAAGGA
rnacentral:rRNA from 1 species